UACGUAGGGUGCAAGCGUUAAUCGGAAUUACUGGGCGUAAAGCGUGCGCAGGCGGUUGUGCAAGACGGGUGUGAAAUCCCCGGGCUUAACCUGGGAAUGGCAUUUGUGACUGCACGGCUAGAGUGUGUCAGAGGGGGGUAGAAUUCCACGUGUAGCAGUGAAAUGCGUAGAUAUGUGGAGGAACACCGAUGGCGAAGGCAGCCCCCUGGGCUAACACUGACGCUCAUGCACGAAAGCGUGGGGAGCAGACAGG
rnacentral:rRNA from 1 species